rnacentral:rRNA from 1 species
GACGAACGCUGGCGGCGUGCUUAACACAUGCAAGUCGAACGGAAAGGCCCUGCUUUUGUGGGGUGCUCGAGUGGCGAACGGGUGAGUAACACGUGAGUAACCUGCCCUUGACUUUGGGAUAACUUCAGGAAACUGGGGCUAAUAACGGAUAGGAGCUCCUGCUGCAUGGUGGGGGUUGGAAAGUUUCGGCGGUUGGGGAUGGACUCGCGGCUUAUCAGCUUGUUGGUGGGGUAGUGGCUUACCAAGGCUUUGACGGGUAGCCGGCCUGAGAGGGUGACCGGCCACAUUAGGACUGAGAUGCGGCCCAGACUCCUACGGGAGGCAGCAGUGGGGAAGAGUGCACAAUGGGCGGAAGCAUGAUGCAGCAACGCCGCGUGCGGGGUGACGGCCUUCGGGUUGUAAACCGCUUUCGCCUGUGACGAAGCGUGAGUGACGGUAAUGGGCAAAGAAGCACCGGCUAACUACGUG